UUAAGUUCAGCGGGUAGUCCCACCUGAUUCGAGGUCAAAGCUGAAAAUUGGAAUGCAGACCGAAACAAUCUGCAAAAACCAGGUUUAGAAGCAACCCAAAUGGGGACUGGCCAUCCCCGAAAAGAUGUCCUCAGCGAUCAGACUGUUAUCACGCUGAGUAGAACCAGUUCCACAUGAGGAUCAGCUAAUGUUUUUAAGGC
rnacentral:misc_RNA from 1 species